rnacentral:rRNA from 1 species
UACGUAGGUGGCAAGCGUCGUCCGGAUUUACUGGGCGUAAAGGAUGUGUAGGCGGAUACUUAAGUGAGAUGUGAAAGCCCCGGGCUCAACCUGGGGACCGCAUUUCAAACUAUGUUACUAGAGUGCAGGAGAGGUAAGCGGAAUUCCUAGUGUAGCGGUGAAAUGCGUAGAUAUUAGGAGGAACACCGGUGGCGAAAGCGGCUCUCUGGCCUGUAACUGACACUGAGGCUCGAAAGCGUGGGGAGCAAACAGG